rnacentral:rRNA from 1 species
UAAAUUGCAUGUAAGGGCAGAUGGUGGAUGCCUUGGGAUGUGAAGGCGAUGAAGGACGUGGCGUGACUGCGAUAAGCCUCGGGGAGGUGUCUAGCAACCGUUAAUCCGAGGAUGUCCGAAUAGGGAAACCUAACAUGGUGUUGAGCCAUGUUGUCUUGCGCAAGCAAGAAGCGAACCUGGGGAAGUGAAUCAUCUCAGUACCCAGAGGAAAAGAAAUGUAUUCCCCUAGUAGCGGCGAGCGAACAGGGAGGAGUCCAAACCCUAUAUCGAAAGGUAUGGGGGGUUGCAAGGGAAUAGCGUCGGAGCCUUACUCCACAAAACCUAUCAAUCGAUUGGUGGGGUGAUGCCCUGAGGGAGAGACAAGUUAGAGAUUGGUUAGGAGAACGUGUCUGGAAAGACCGGCAAUACAGGGUAAUAGCCCCGUAUCCAAAAACCUCUUUAUGCUCCUUGCUAUUUUUCUUAAGUACCUUGGGGAAAGAUAUCCCCUUGGGAAACCGGCCGUACUAAAGGCCAAGGCUAAAUACUUCGCAUCACCGAUAGUGAACCAGUACCGUGAGGGAAAGGUGAAAAGCAGGGGGGUGACCCCGGUGAAAUAGAAUCUGAAACCAUUUUGCCCACAAGGAGUCGGAGCCCCGAUCGCAAGAUCGUGGGUGACGGCGUAUUUCUUGCUAAACGAGCCAACGAGUUUAUGUGCAUUGCAGUCUAAGGGCGAUUUCCGUCCGUAGGCAAAGGGAAACCGAGUGCUAAAUGCGCGAAAAAAUGCAGUGUGCCUAAGACCCGAAGCCAAGCGAGCUUUCCAUGACCAGGGUGAAGGUAGCCGAAAGGCUGCCGGAAGCCCGAACCCGUAAGUCGUUCAACUCUUUGGGAUGAGUUGUGGAAAGAAGUGAAAAGCUAAUCGAGCUUGGUCAUAGCUGGUUCUCUCCGAAAUAGCUUAGGGCUAGCGUCCGCUGUGAGUAUUGGAGGUAGAGCACUGAAAAGAAUAUUUUGGCGCAAGCCAGAUAUUCUUAUCAAACUUCGAAUGCCAGUACUUUAAAAGCGGGCAGUCAGAACGUGGGCGCUAAGGUCCACGGAUCCUAAGGGAAACAGCCCAGACCUUCAUCUAAGGUCCCUAAAUCAGACUAAGUGCAAACGAAGAGGAAGUGGAAUUCUUAAGAUAGCUAGGAGGUUAGCUCAGAAGCAGCUAUCCUUUAAAAAGUGCGUAAUAGCUUACUAGCUAAGGAGUUUCGCGCCCAAGAUUUACGGGGCUAAGUUUAGUACCGAAGAUAAGGAUUCUGCCGAUUUAUCGGCAGAGUGGUAGGGGAGCGUUCUUUAAGCAGCGAAGCCGGAAGGUGACUGACGGUGGAGCUUAAAGAAGUGAAAAUGUUGGCAUGAGUAACCGCAACACAUAUUAAAUUCCUGUGCACCGAAAGCCCAAGGUUUCCUUGGUAAUGCUAACCAUCCAAGGGUUAGGCGGUCCUAAGGCAAAGCCGAAAGGUGUAGUCGACGGACAACAGGCUAAUAUUCCUGUCCUUCAGUGCUUUUUCAAGGAGUGACGCUGUUUUCUAGUUUGGGGGGUUAUUGGAUUCCCAAGGGGAUUUAUCCCCGUCUCAAAUGAAAAGACAGCCCAGAAAAGCUCCAAGAUUUAAGAAGCAUUGGAUCCGUACCGCAAACCAACACAGGUGGGCUGGUGUAAAUGCACCAAGGUGAACGGGUGAAACCUCGUUAAGGAACUCGGCAAAAAAGUGGUCGUAACUUCGGGAUAAGACCUUCCUCUUCGGAGGACGCAGCGAAAGUACCCCAGGCGACUGUUUAUCAAAAACACAGGUCCCUGCUGAAUUUGUAAAAAGAUGUAUAGGGGCUGAGGCCUGACCAGUGCUGGAACGUUAAUCCCGAGGGUAUUCGGCAGCAAUGCUGAAUGCUCAUUGGGUGAAGCGCCAGUGAACGUCCGCGGUAACUA